UGGGAAUCUUGCACAAUGGGCGAAAGCCUGAUGCAGCAACGCCGCGUGCGGGAAGACAGCCCUAGGGUUGUAAACCGCUUUCAGCAGGGAAGAAACUGACGGUACCUGCAGAAGAAGAUGCGGCCAACUACGUGCCAGCAGCCGCGGUGACACGUAGGCAUCAAGCGUUAUCCGGAUUUAUUGGGCGUAAAGAGCUCGUAGGCGGUUCGGUAAGUCGGGUGUGAAAACUCUGGGCUCAACCCAGAGAGGCCACUCGAUACUGCUGUGACUAGAGUGCGGUAGGGGAGCGGGGAAUUCCUGGUGUAGCGGUGAAAUGCGCAGAUAUCAGGAGGAACACCAGUGGCGAAGGCGCCGCUCUGGGCCGUAACUGACGCUGAGGAGCGAAAGCAUGGGUAGCAAACAGGAUUAGAUACCCUGGUAGUCCAUGCCGUAAACGUUGGGCACUAGGUGUGGGUCUCAACCGAACGAGAUCCGCGCCGUCGCUAACGCAUUAAGUGCCCGCCUGGGAGUACGGUCGCAAG
rnacentral:rRNA from 1 species